GACGAACGCUGGCGGCGUGCUUAACACAUGCAAGUCGAACGGAAAGGCCCUGCUUUUGUGGGGUGCUCGAGUGGCGAACGGGUGAGUAGCACGUGAGUAACCUGCCCUUGACUUUGGGAUAACUUCAGGAAACUGGGGCUAAUACCGGAUAGGAGCUCCUGCUGCAUGGUGGGGGUUGGAAAGUUUCGGCGGUUGGGGAUGGACUCGCGGCUUAUCAGCUUGUUGGUGGGGUAGUGGCUUACCAAGGCUUUGACGGGUAGCCGGCCUGAGAGGGUGACCGGCCACAUUGGGACUGAGAUACGGCCCAGACUCCUACGGGAGGCAACAGUGGGGAAUAUUGCACAAUGGGCGGAAGCCUGAUGCAGCAACGCCGCGUGCGGGAUGACGGCCUUCGGGUUGUAAACCGCUUUCGCCUGUGACGAAGCGUGAGUGACGGUAAUGGGUAAAGAAGCACCGGCUAACUACGU
rnacentral:rRNA from 1 species